rnacentral:rRNA from 1 species
CGCAGGCUGCAACCCGCCUGCGUGAAGUUGGAAUCGCUAGUAAUCGCGGAUCAGCAUGCCGCGGUGAAUACGUUCCCGGGCCUUGUACACACCGCCCGUCACACCAUGAGAGUCGGGAACACCCGAAGUCCGUAGCCUAACCGCAAGGGGGGCGCGGCCGAAGGUGGGUUCGAUAAUUGGGGUGAAGUCGUAACAAGGUACC